UACGUAGGGAGCAAGCGUUGUCCGGAAUCAUUGGGCGUAAAGCGCGCGUAGGCGGCCCGAUAAGUCCGCUGUAAAAGUCAACGGCUCAACUGUUGAAAGCCGGUGGAUACUGUCGGGCUAGAGUACGGAAGAGGCAAGUGGAAUUCCUGGUGUAGCGGUGGAAUGCGCAGAUAUCAGGAGGAACACCGAUGGCGAAGGCGGCGACCUGGACAAGUACUGACACUCAACUACGAAAGCGUGGGGAGCAAACAGG
rnacentral:rRNA from 1 species